AGCAUGGGAUUGCUGCUGAGAGCUGCAUGUGUGCUUCUCUUCAGGAGGAGAGCUCUUACAACCAUGGCUCAGCACAAAUUCAUUGAUAUUGGUGUGAACCUGACAGAUCCCAUGUUCAGAGGACUCUACAGAGGGAAGCAGAAACAUGACGAUGACUUCAAUCAGAUCAUUGACAGAGCGGUCACAACCGGAGUCAAAAAGGUAA